GUGAUGUGUUGAUGUCAGCAAUGAAGCAGCUGUGACUUGCAGCUCUCUGAUCCAGGCAGGCUCUCAAAAGUGGAAGUAAAAGCCCAACAAGAAGGAAGAAUGAAUUCUCCAUGUUGACAAACAUCUGCUCCCAGAAAUAAAAAUAUCCUUUAUUCAGAGAGACUUCUUCUUCUUCCUCUUCCUCUUCCUCUUCUCCUUCUCCUCCUUCCCCUCCUCCUCCUCCUCUUCUUUCUUCUUCUUCUUCUUCUUCUUCUUCUUCUUCUUCUUCUUCUUCUUCUUCUUCUUCUUCUUCCCCCUUCCCCCUUCCCUUUCUCCUCCCUUCCCCUCCCCCUCCCCCCUCCUCCUCCCUCUCAUCCUCCUCCUCCUUCUUCUCCCUUUUUUCUUUUCCCUUGAGACAUGGAUUCUCUGUGUAGUCCCAGUUGUACUCACUACGUAGACCAGGUUGGCCUCAAGCUUACAGAGUUCUGGCUGCCUCCACCUCUCAGGUACUGGGAUUAAAGGGGAACUCCACCAUGUCUGGCUCAGAAAUAGUUCUCAACCUCUUCAGGGAAUGUAAAAGCAUUGCAGGGGCUGGGGAAAUGAUAAUGAACGUAGUAAAAAACAAAAUGCCUUUCAGACAUCUAAAAAUAGCUUAGACAAGAUCCAACACUCCACCCAAGGCUGCACCCGAUAACCAGAACCCAGGGAUAUCCUUCACCCAAGAUAACCAGACACAGUCCUGGAACCCGUGACACCCAUUCAACAGUAUAUAAGCAGAGAUCGAGAGCAAUAUUCUGCUCUACACAUCUAGAGAGACGCCACCUUGAUCUACCCUGUGGCUACAGAAUCUCAAACAGGGUCCUGACCCUCAAAUCAAAGACUUAGAGACUUUAGACUUCUGUUAAAGACUGGACCUGACCUUCAGCUAAGAUAACUCGUACCGGAUAUCUGAUACGUGGCCCCUGUGGAAGGGUCACGACCCACGGGUUGAGAACCGCUGCUCUCAACAGAAUCCCUGGAAUCCACUGAAGCAACAGGUGUCUCUAUUGACAGUUGCUGAUGGGGAAAGUGUGACGUGUUGCUGGGAUAGUCGCUGUCAACAGGAAAGCCAGGCACCUGCUGGUCAGUCAUGCUGCGGUUCUUCCAACACACACCCUACUAAAGAGGAAAUCGCAAAGGAGAACCGAAGAGAUGAUUGACUUUACGGCGAGGGGCGUGGUUACAUCUUACACGAGCCACGAGCAGUGUGAGUAUAUUUUUAGGUCAAGCGAGCUUAACACGAAAAUACCAGCAAUGGCUGCCAUGGUGGCACACACCUUUGAUCCCAGCACUCAAGAAGCAGAGGCAGGCAGGUCUCUGGGAGUUCAAGGCCAGUCAUAGUGAGUUCCAGCCAGCCAGGACUACAUGAAGUCCCUGUCUCAAAAAAAAAAAAAAAAAAAAAAAAAAAAAGAAAAGAAAGAAAGAAAAGAAAAAGAAAAAGAAAAAGAAAAAGAAAAAGAAAGAAAGAAAGAGAGACAGACAUAUAAAACUUUAAAAAUAGAUAAUAGUAACCAUGACACGGGAUAAAUUUGUUAAACAACUUAUGUCUAUAUCAAAUGUCCCAGAAUUCUACACUUCUGUCUUGGCUUUUCUAUCGCUGGGAAAGAGACCCUAUGACCAUGGCAACUCUUAGAAAGGAAAGCCCUUAAUUAGGGCUGGCUUGCAGGGUUCAGCGGCUUAGUCCAUUAUCACUCUAGUGGGAAGCUUGGUGGCAAAGAGGCAGACAUGGUGCUGGAGAGGUAGCCAAGAGUCCGACAUCUGGAUCAGCAGGCAGCUGGAAGACUGUAAGCCACUAGGCCUGCUUUGAGCUUCUGAGACAUCAAAGCCACCUGCUUGGGACACACUUCCUCCAGCAAAGCUACACCUACUCCAACAGGGCCACGUGUCCUGAAAGAGCCACUCCCUAUGGACCUAUGGGGGCCUUUUUUUUUUUUCUUUUUCCAGACAGGGUUUCUCUAUGUAGCCCUGGCUAUCCUAGAACUCAUUCUGUAGACCAGGCAGACCUCGAACUCAGAAAUCCCCCUGCCUCUGCCUCCCAAGUGCUGGGAUUAAAGGUUUAUGAGGGCCAUUUUUAUUCAAACAACCACAACUUCUAAACAUUUUGAUGGGGCAUACAUACGUGUGCAUCCAUACAUGUUUACAUGUGUGUGAAUGUGUAUAGGAACACACGUGUGUGGAGGCCAGACAUUGAAGUCCAGUAGCUUCCAGAUCAUUCCCACCUUAUAUACUGAGGCAGAGACUCUCUGCUGAACACAGAACUUGAGGAUUUGACUAGUUUAGCACAGCUGCUUGUUCCAAGGAUCCUACCCGUUUCCUAAGCACUGGGAUUCUAAGUAGACCAACAUUUCCAUGGAUGCUGAGGAUCUGAACUUGAGUCCUCAGGCUUUUACAGUAAGUUAUCUCCCACCUCCCACCGAGUCAUCUCCAAAACCCACUUUUGAAGAUUUUCUUUUUUCACUUUUAAUUAUAUGUAUGUGUGUGGAUAUGUACAUGUGAGUGCAGUUGCCCAGAGAGACCAGAAGAGGGCAUCAGAUCCCCAGAAGCUAGAACUACAAGGGGUUGUAAUCACUUGAUCUGGGUGCUGGGAACCAAACUGGAGUCCUCCUCAGCAAGAGCAGUUUCUACUCCGGACCUCUGUGCCCUCUCUCCGGCCCCCACUAAUAAAGACUUUGUGUGAGAUUUUCAUGUCUUUCCCUGCCAUACUCCUGAUCCACUCCCACUUCUCUUUGUACUUGGGUAGAGCUUACUUAGGACAAACUCUCUCCUCCUGCGCGUGUGCGUGCGUGCGUGCGUGCGUUUCUCCUUUAAUUUUGAGAGACUCUGUACCACAAGCUGCCCUUGAAUUCAUGACAAUCCUGCACGAUCUUCUGAAGAUGCUGGGAUUGCAGAUAUGAGCCACAUACCCAGUUCUACACCCAGUUCUUCCCCCAGUUACUAAUCCUCUCUGGGGGAGGACGAUAAUUGGCAUCUUUGCAUCACACUACCUCAAGUAUAAAACUGUAACUCGUUGGGCCAGACCCCUCUGUAAUCAUUAUUUAUGGGUCAUAGCCAUAGGCUAUUGAACCUUGCUGCUGCCUGGUCUAUUAGAAUAUUCUAAUUCCUUUACCAAAGAUUCCUUCAGGAGUACAUACAGGGAAUAGACCCCAGCUACCGAUGAGAACAUGUCCUGG
rnacentral:lncRNA from 1 species